GACGAACGCUGGCGGCGUGCCUAAUACAUGCAAGUCGAACGAGAGCGACCGGUGCUUGCACUGGUCAAUCUAGUGGCGAACGGGUGAGUAACACGGGGGUAACCUGCCCAUCAGAGGGGGAUAACAUUCGGAAACGGAUGCUAAAACCGCAUAGGUCUUCGAACCGCAUGGUUUGAAGAGGAAAAGAGGCGCAAGCUUCUGCUGAUGGAUGGACCCGCGGUGCAGUAGCUAGUUGGUGAGGUAGCGGCUCACCAAGGCCGUGAUGCAUAGCCGACCUGAGAGGGUGAUCGGCCACAUUGGGACUGAGACACGGCCCAAACUCCUACGGGAGGCAGCAGUAGGGAAUCUUCCGCAAUGGACGCAAGUCUGACGGAGCAACGCCGCGUGAGUGAAGAAGGUUUUCGGAUCGUAAAACUCUGUUGUUAGAGAAGAACAAGUGCUAGAGUAACUGUUAGCGCCUUGACGGUACCUAAGCAGAAAGCCACGGCUAACUCCGUG
rnacentral:rRNA from 1 species